AGCAGCCGCGGUAAUUCCAGCUCCAAUAGCGUAUAUUAAAGUUGUUGCAGUUAAAAAGCUCGUAGUUGAAUUUCAGGCCUGGCUGGGCGGUCCGCCCUUCGGGUGAGUACUGCCUGUGGUCGGGUCCUACCUUCUGGCGAAGCGUCAUGGCCUUCACCGGCCGUGGCGGGGAACCAGGACUUUUACNGUGAAAAAUUGAGUGUUCAAAGCAGGCAAUCGCUUGGAUACAUUAGCAUGGAAUAAUGGAAUAGGACAGUGGUUCUAUUUGUUGGUUUCUAGGACCGUUGUAAUGAUUAAUAGGGAUAGUUGGGGGCAUUAGUAUUCAAUUGUCAGAGGUGAAAUUCUUGGAUUUAUUGAAGACUAACUACUGCGAAAGCAUUUGCCAAGGAUGUUUCAUUAAUCAAGAACG
rnacentral:rRNA from 1 species